rnacentral:rRNA from 1 species
GAUGAACGCUAGCUACAGGCUUAACACAUGCAAGUCGAGGGGCAGCGGGAUUGAAGCUUGCUUCAAUUGCCGGCGACCGGCGCACGGGUGAGUAACGCGUAUCCAACCUUCCGCUUACUCGGGGAUAGCCUUUCGAAAGAAAGAUUAAUACCCGAUGGUAUCUUAAGCACGCAUGAGAUUAAGAUUAAAGAUUUAUCGGUAAGCGAUGGGGAUGCGUUCCAUUAGGCAGUUGGCGGGGUAACGGCCCACCAAACCUACGAUGGAUAGGGGUUCUGAGAGGAAGGUCCCCCACAUUGGAACUGAGACACGGUCCAAACUCCUACGGGAGGCAGCAGUGAGGAAUAUUGGUCAAUGGGCGAGAGCCUGAACCAGCCAAGUAGCGUGAAGGAUGACGGCCCUACGGGUUGUAAACUUCUUUUGUGCGGGAAUAAAGGAACCUACGUGUAGGUUUUUGCAUGUACCGUAACGAAUAANCAUCGGCUAACUCCGUGCCAGCAGCCGCGGUAAUACGGAGGAUGCGAGCGUUAUCCGGAUUUAUUGGGUUUAAAGGGAGCGUAGACGGGUUUUUAAGUCAGCUGUGAAAGUUUGGGGCUUAACCUUAAAAUUGCAGUUGAAACUGGAGACCUUGAGUACGGUUGAGGCAG